UAUUGGACAAUGGGCGCAAGCCUGAUCCAGCCAUGCCGCGUGGAUGAUGAAGGCCUUAGGGCUGUAAAGUCCUUUUAACGGGGGAGAUAAUGACGGUACCCGUAGAAUAAGCCCCGGCUAACUUCGUGCCAGCAGCCGCGGUAAUACGAAGGGGGCUAGCGUUGCUCGGAAUUACUGGGCGUAAAGCGCACGUAGGCGGCUCUUUAAGUCGGGGGUGAAAUCCUGGAGCUCAACUCCAGAACUGCCUUCGAUACUGAAGAGCUCGAGUCCGGGAGAGGUGAGUGGAACUGCGAGUGUAGAGGUGAAAUUCGUAGAUAUUCGCAAGAACACCAGUGGCGAAGGCGGCUCACUGGCCCGGUACUGACGCUGAGGUGCGAAAGCGUGGGGAGCAAACAGG
rnacentral:rRNA from 1 species